AGUGAACGCUGGCGGUAGGCCUAACACAUGCAAGUCGAACGGCAGCACAGUAAGAGCUUGCUCUUACGGGUGGCGAGUGGCGGACGGGUGAGGAAUACAUCGGAAUCUACUUUUUCGUGGGGGAUAACGUAGGGAAACUUACGCUAAUACCGCAUCCGACCUACGGGUGAAAGCAGGGGAUCUUCGGACCUUGCGCGAUUGAAUGAGCCGCUGUCGGAUUAGCUAGUUGGCGGGGUAAAGGCCCACCAAGGCGACGAUCCGUAGCUGGUCUGAGUGGAUGAGCAGCCACACUGGAACGGAGACACGGUCCAGAGGCCUACGGGAGGCAGCAGUGGGGAAUAUUGGAGAAUGGGCGCAAACCUGAGCCAGCCGUACCGCGUGGGUGAAGAAGGCCUUCGGGUUGUAAAGCCCUUUUGUUGGGAUAGAAAAGCAGCAGGUUAAUACCCCGCUGUUCUGACGGUACCCAAAGAAUAAGCACCGGCUAACUUCGUG
rnacentral:rRNA from 1 species